AUGGGCAGGCGGACUCUCAACCACUGCGCCACCAGGGAAGCCCUUGACUGACUUUUAACUAUAAGUCACAUGUUCCUGUUUCUGCAGGAACUUUUGGGUUGUUUACUUGGCAUUGUGAGGGACACCUCCUGGAGGCUGGCUUCUCUGAACUUCUUGGAAGAGUGCUGGGCUGUGCUCUGGAGGGUCUUGAACUUGUGGAGGCUGGCUUCACAGCCCGCUAGGACAGAUCUAUUUUAGUUUCCCCUUGGUUCGAGCACCGCUUGGUCAUCUUUGCUGUGAGGCGUGUUUCUCCCAGGGUUUCAGUGGGGAGUGAGCGCCCAGCCUCUGAGCUUGGUGAGACUCGGAUCCACACCCCGUGGCCCCAGCGGAGGUGCCGUCCACUCAGCUCUCCAGGUCUCUAGGGCCCCUUCUCCCCCGCCCCGCGGGGUCCUCCCUGUUAUGCAGGUCAGGGCUCAGCAAGGGUCUGAGAGAACUAAACUCAGACUUGGGGGCUCCUCACCCUUCUCUCCUCCAGAAUCCCCUCGAUUUCCAUCGGCCUUGGAAGCCCUUUAGACAGGGUUCCCUUCAUCCCGGCUCUUCCCCGCACGCCGGGGCCCCCUCUUUCGGCUGUUUGGAGCCCUGAGACCACAGCGGAAAUGGCCCUGAGCUUGCCUCUUCCAGGCCGCCCAGCAGACGCGUGAGGCAGGGCGUUCUGGGCCCAGCCGUCCCCGCGGGGUUGCACGUGUCCGUGGCUGUAAGAAGAGCCUGGAGAGGGCAAGGGAGCCACCCCGCAGAGCCCACGACGCAGACCCAUGGAAUCUGAGCAAAUAAAGCAACUGUUUACGCCAGCCGCUUUUGGGUGCUGUGCUUGGCAGCAGUAGGUAAGCGACAUACACCUAGAGGGAACGUAGUUCAGUAGAUCCUCAGACACGCAUUUAAACGUCUUAACGUUUUCAGAGUCAUGAUGUGUUUUAUCAUUCAUAGCAAGCGUGUCAUAGUUUAUCAGCAGUGAUCAGUUGUUCUUUCUUACUUAGUACAUAAACUGGUCAUAGGUUUUCAAACAAUGGCUUCUUAGAGUCAAUGAGAUACAGUGCAUUUGGAAAAACUGGACUAAAGACAGAGAGCUUGUUGACUGCUGGACUUCAGGGCCUUAGUGUGGACAGCGAGUCUUCAGGAGGGAGUCCAGGACCCCCACAAUGAAGCAAUAUGUCGCUGUGUGUACACAGGCAUGUGUGAUACUGUGUGUGAAUAACCCACUGAUACGAGAUGAAGGAAAAUCCCUUAAACCACCGGACCGUCCCUCCUCUUACCUUCCGAUGUCUCAGAGGCAGUGUCUGGGGACUCAGUUCAGGAAGUUGGGAUCUCCGUCAUUUCUCGAGGCAGACCAAUCAAUUACACUGGUUUCUUCACUUCGAUGGCCUGAGAUGUCAGAGAACUUAUUCUGAAAACGCAGUAGUGUGGGAAAAAAAGGCAGGGAAUGAAAUGGGAUUUGAAAGAGGAAAGCAAUGCGUUGUUUAGGGCCAAGACAACCGUGCGUAAAUCUCAAAGAGAAAAUGCUAAUGUUGGUAAUUUUGUUGUUAAUAUUUAAAGUACGCUCCUUCUACUAAGAAUAAUAGAAACUUCUGUAUUAAGAACGGCACCGAACACUUGUAUCAGCUCUGGCUCCUCCUGGCCCUGAGGUGAGCCUUCCCUGUCAGCUGGUGUAAAUGUAAACUCUCUCCACAAGGCAAACGUCCACUCUCACUGUGGGAGAAACAGAUUAGCUGAUGGAAGAGAAAUGCCAAAUUAAAGGCAUUUGUAUCCCAGAUUAGCAGCAUAUGUUAAAAAAUGAUGUCCCCAGUUAAUUUUUCCGCGGCCUGGAAAUGAGGUUUCUAAUUUACACAGUAGUUUUUUUAAGCAUUGGAGAGUUUUCUGAUUAUGGGAAGUAAAGUACGUUAGAAUUUCAGAAUAUUAACAUUGGAAGGGGAAUCUCUUCUACAACAGCCCCAUUUGACUGUCUUGGUGAGAAACCUACCAUUUCAUUAUAUAACCAGACUUCUUUACUAAGCUGAUUGUUUUCUUUGUAAUGGUAACUUAUUUUUAAAGCGGUUUACUAUCUGUUUUUCUGUUAUAAAAAUAAUUCAUGCUCAUAAGUAUAGAAGGUUUAGAACGGCAGAGAGAAGAGAAGAGGCCACAGGAGAGGCGGCCUGACAGUGCUGGGUUCGCAGCUGGGCAUGGUGUGCGCUGUGUCCCGCACAGCCCCUCUGGGCUUCUCACAAUGGCGCCCGUAGGACCAUGUGCACUGAUCUGUCUUCACACUUGACACCACAACUUAAACAUUUCCCUCUUACUACACGCUUGCUCUGAACCUUCUCUUUAACAGCCCUACACACUUGUUCGUGCUGUGGGCUGAAUGUCUGUGCCCCCAAAUUCAUAUGUUGAAACCAAACCCUCAAUGUGAUGGGGUCAGGAGGUGGGCCUUGGGGAGGUGGUGAGGUCAGGAGGGUGGAGCCCCCAUGAUGGGCUUAGAGCUCCUAGAGGAAGAGACCCCAGAGAGACCCCUGUCCCUCACCCCCCACCCCCCGUGAGGUCGCAUCUGUGAACCAGGAAGAGGCCCACUACACACUGAGUCUGCUGGGCCUUGGCCUUGGCCUUCCAGCCUCCAGAACUUGGGAAGCGCCUUUCUGUGGUCUGUCACCCACUGUCCUGAGCGGACUCACACAGGUGGGUCCCACGGUGGCUUGGAGGUCCCUAGGCGGGUGAUGGUCUCCUUCAACCACGGGACAUUGUUUUGUGCAUCUAAGGGCGAUGGUGGCUGUUUCCUUCCUGAGUUGUCAGCUACAGUUUCAGCACUGAAGCACUUUUAUCUUUUCCUCUGUAGCUUCUCUGUGUUGAAGUCUGAGUGGCCAUGAGGGGUAGCAUGGAGUCAAUGUGCACUGGGCCCCGCGAUGUGCCGGUCCCUCCAUUUGAACACUUGCUGCUCCCACAGAGGGAGGCAGGGUUUUCCCCAUUGCCGUGACUCUGGGAGCCCAAGUCAUGAGCCCCGAGCAGCAUAGCCUCUGAGGGGGAGGCCGGGGCCCCAGUCUGGUCCGUGUGGCUUCAGAGCUGCUCUGAUGGACAUGCCCCCUCGGCCCACAGGGUGGCCCAGUCUCCGUCUGGGGGCAGCCCGGCCUCUCUGCUUCCCCCCAGCAAGGACCCUGGCUGCUGUCUCCAGCUCAGCGCCUCAUUCCCCUCCGAGCUCCAGGCCGCCGGCCGUUCAGGCUGGGGCACGACCCAGAGCAGGCCCAGCCGGUCAGUGCUGCUCCUUUGGUCACUGGCUCCCUGGAGGCCUGCUCGGUCCUAGUCUUUGAGGGGAAAGAAAGUUUGUUUGUGAGUAAAACCAUUUGUUCCUGGCUUUACGCAUUAUUACCACAGCAGUGAUGUCUGUUGGGUCUGUGUGUGUGCAGUGCUAAUGUCCUUUUAUCCCCAACCUCCUGGAGCAGCUCAGAGGGCAGGGGGCAGACAGUGGCGGGUCCCUGGGCACGUCUGUGUCCCUGGGUCCCCAUCAGAGUCACAGGGGCUGAGUCGGUGGCGGUGAAGGUGGAUGGUGGGUUGAGAGGUUUAAUGGAGAUGGCUUUUCCUCUAAGUUCCUCUCCUCAAACCCUUGUUACCGCGUGCAUUUCCGUCCCUGGCCCUUCGCUUAUAAAAUGCAAACGGGCCGCGUUACUUAGUGGGUCAGCCCCCAGCAGGGCCAGUUGCUGCCCUCGCUGAGCCUUCCGAGGGGCCUGAGGUGCGGGCCCUCCUGGGGGCCCUCGGCGCCUCCCGCACAGCCCCGGGCCGCCCCCAAGGAGCAGGAGGGAUGUGCAGGUGGGCCUGGGGCCGGGGACCAGGAUGUGGGCGCGGUGAGCACCUGCGUGUUUCCACACCAUCGUUACGUCGCUGCAAGUUUAGAGAAGUUCCUUGCAAAAUAAGCCACGUAAAUAUUGUGGAGGUCACGUUUUCCAAUCCCAAACCUAGGAUCUUUUUGCAAAUACCGUGGAUGAUGUGGGCUCUUGACAGGUGCUGGUGGAGGGCACUUCGAGAAGGACCGCGGAGGGGCCGGGCCUGGGAAGCGGGUCAAGGGCCUGGAGGCUUGGGGUGCAGGCGCGGAGGGACUGGGGCGCCGGGGCUCCCGGGCUGGCCCAGGGCGGGGAGGGGUCGCCGGGCGGCGGGAGAUGGGUGGGGCUCGCUGAUUUCUGGGGCGAGUUCUCCCCGCUGAGCAGGUUUCAGGCCGCGGCAUCCUGCCCCGACCGCUGGGGUGGGAGGAGAGGAGCGCGGCGGGUGACUCAGCCGUCAACACUGGAAACAGCGUUCACGCAGCACCGCUGUUAACCUAAGUGCGUUGCCCUUGAUGAUCUGGCUCCUUUGUCUGCAAGCUGGAGCCGCGUCCCAGUCUUUCGUGCACUUACUCUUGCAGGCGAGCGUCAGAUUUGUUUUGUCCAGCCUGCAGGAGUGGCGCCCCUCUGGCCUUCUGUUUGGAAUUACGCCGUUAGAUUUAUUAGGUUCUGGUUGAUGUCUUUUAAAAUAUAGAGCCUGCCGAACUGGGAACGUUCCACCUCUUUUUAAAUGAUGCUCAGUUAAAGUGCAUCUUUUUUACCAGCUUGUCCAGGGCCAGAGAGACCAAGGCAGAUGGGGCGCCUGUAGAUGAACUGAGACAACGCCCCAGAACCCCAUGGACGCAGAAGCAGAGGCGGUGAUCAAGCCCGGCCCCCAGGGCGAGUCCUCAGGGUUCUGUUCCCCCCGCUCCAGCCAGGCCGCCCCUACUCUGGCCCUUCAAAGCCUUCAGGUGCCUCAUCUACUCACCACUGUGUGCAGACAGGCAGUGCCGGGUGUGCUGUGACUUUGACAGAUUUAUAAGGAACUGGCUUAAGAGUCCCCCCGGAUCUUUAUUCCCUGGAAAGAUCUAAUAGGGCCAGUGUCUAGGAAUUCUGUGACUGAGUUAAGGUUUUCUACUUCCAAGCAGAGAGAAAGCUAGCAGGUCAACGUCUAGGGAUCCUUUGGACGUUGCCCUUCACUGGAACUAGAAGGAGCAGGAGACCCUUGGCCCGUUUGUUUCUCUGUGUCCCAAAGUAUCUGCCUCCUGGGUUUACAAGUCCUGAUGACAAGGGCAGAGAGGGGUGACUUCUGACUUGGGCCAGAUCCCUACACACUUCUGUAGGCGGCAUGCGGCCUCGGCCACCGCCAGGGAGCAACAGGGAGCAAGUUAAUAGGGGCCUGCUUUCUGCAGUGACGCCUCAGUUCGCAGGGUGCAGAGGUGACCAAGACAUCACUUGUCCCAGGAGACUUAGAGUCCAGCGGAAAACGGGACUAGAGUGUUCAUGACGGCGAGAGCCCCCGAAGCGGGUGAAGGCCCUGGAAGGUGCUGGUGGGCACAGCGUGAGCCGAGCUGCACUUCAGGAAGGUCACCCUGCGGCUGGUUUGGGGAAGAAUAUGGGGGGAGAAGGUUCACGGAGAGACCAGCUAAGAAGCUGCUGGUUAACACCCACAAAAUGAGGCUGUAAACGAGGGGAUGGGGUAGGGUAGGUGGUGGCUGGAGCCGACGAGACGCCCUGAUGACCUGGCUGUGAGGACGGGGUGAUUCCAGGGCUUCUGCGUCAAAGUGUAAGGGGACAAACCCAUUUGGGAGGAAGACACUAAUCUGUUCUUCUCAUGAAGUAGAAGCUUAGGUCACUGAUUUUCCUAAUUUUCUUUUUUUUCUAUCUGUAUUUCAAGUUAUAAAAUUUCCGCCAAGGAUUGCUUUAGUUCAGUCCUACAAAUUUUGAUACAUUGUAUUUUUGUUAUCAUUCAGUUCAAAAUAUUUUAUAAUUUCCCUUGUGAUUUCUUCUCACAUCUAUUUAGACAUGUGUUGUUUAACUUUUCAUACUGGAUAUUUUCUAGUUAACUUUUAUUAUCAACUUCUAGCUUAAUUUCGUACAGAGAACCUGCUCUGUAUGGUUUUAUUUCUGUGAAGUUUGUCUAGACUUUCAUGUGGUCUAUUUGGUGAGCAUUCCAUGUGCACUAGAAAAAUACACACUCUGCAGUUGUUGGCUGACGUGUUCUAUAUAUGUUCCACAUGUGUAUGUUCUGUAUAUAUGUUCUACAUAUGUAGAUAUGUUCUAUGUGUGUUCUUUACAUGUGUUCUCUAUGUGUUUUGUGUGUUAUAUAUGUUCUCUCUAUGUAUAUGUUCUAUAUAUGUUGAUUAGGCCAAGUUGGGUGAUAUUUUUGGUUAAUGUUUUGUUCACACUUUCUGUAUCAAUGACUUUUUGGCAGGCUUGUUCUAUCAGGCACAGAGAAGUGUGUUUAAAUCUCCAGUUAUGGUGAUAGAUGCGUCUAUUUCUUCUGUUAGUUCUGUCCAUUGCCUCAUGUGUCUGAAGCUCUGUCCCCAGGUGCUGGCACACUUAGGACUAUUACGUCUUCCUGAUGAAUCGACCCUUCAUCACCGUGAAGGGGAAGAAGAUGUGGGUGUACAGGGGAUGAUGUCGGAUGUGCAAGUGGAAAUUUGAGUUUGGAUCUCAGGAAGAGACACCGAGCCAUAAGGGAAGACACACCCGUCUCUGCUUUAUAAGUGACCCCACCUGUGCGAGAUGAGCUGGCCGUUUCCUUUCCCCAGUUUGUUUGAUCGAAACAUGGCUGUUGUAAACUUUAUCCCUAAAUACCCUUGCUAGGUGAGUAACUGGACCAUGCAAUUUGUGUCGCACUAUUAAUGGUUUGCUUGAUCGAGUUAAUUACUGCAGGGGUGCACGGUGGUGGGAACUGCAGCUGACCAUCCCUGAGGGCUACCUCUGAUGGCCUCUCAGAUUAUGCAGCUGUUUCCUUCCCAGGAUUCUGGCCUCUUUGAAGAGCACCCAGCGGUGAGGCUUCCCACCUGUGCCUUCCAUCUCAGUCUCCUCGCUGUGGUCCAGUCGCAACAUCUAAUCACUCUGGAAUGACUGAAUGUUUCUGUUGUUUCUCUUUGACAUUGAUAUCAUAAAUAACAUCGUGAUGACUAUUCUUGCACAUAAAUCGUGUGCACAACUGAAUACUUAAAUUGGAAAAAUUCCUAGAAAUGGAAUUACUGGGCCAAAUGAAAUGAACAUUUUAAAGUUAGAAUAUCUUUAAGGUUUAUAGAGUAAAUAUGGAAUAAUAACAUGCUAUAUGAUAUGAGUUGUACUGUAUUAUGAUAAUACUAUGGUAUAAUAAAGCCACUAAAUAUAAAGUUUGUAAUGUCACACCACAUAAUACAGCUGUAGCCUCUGAACAGUGCCAUUUUUAUAGGCAAUUACGGCAUCCAGCUUUUUAUUUUACUUAUGGGGAGUGUAACCUUUUCCUCAUCCUUUCUGUCUUUUAUAAUUUUGACCAUUGAUUAUCUGUUUCUGUUAGUCGGUUUUCUAAGUGUUGAUACUUUUCUUACUUAGAAGCUCCUUGUGGGGAGAUGGAGUUUCUGCCACAAGAAGAAGUCGGGACUGGCUGACACUUAUUUAGCUCUUACUGGCAUCAGGCUGGUUCUAGGGCAUCUGCAGUGGACACAGUCUGUCCCCACAGAGGUCAUGAGGCUGGGAGUGGGCUCGGGGCCCAGCCUGCCAGUCCCCCACACCCAGGCUGCAGCUCGGAGGGAGCCUCAUCAGCACACAAGCACAGCGGUCCUCGUCCCGUGUGGGAGGAGCCGGAGCGCGCCCCUCACGUGCCUGUCAGGAAGUGCUCCCUACGUUGGCCCCUUGCUGGUCAGCUGGAGGGAGGUGGGCCUGGGGGAGGUCCCCGGAUGACGGAGGGAGUGGGCUUGGGCACCCGUCCUAUCCCGGCUCCUCUGAGAGCCAAGGGGCAGAACGGGGCUGCCGGGGGGCAAAUGCCGUCCCCGCCAUGAUGGCCUGGACCCCUGCACCAUCCGGAGGGGGCGUAGAGGGGGCCGAGGCUUGGGUGAGUCCCAGCCCAUCGGGAACUUUGCUCAGAUGACGUCACAGUCAGACGCCACUGGGACACCUUUCACUCUUCUGGUAUAUUUUGCAAACAAGCGUCCUUUCAACUUGCUCUUAAACAUUAUUUAGAAAACAUUCUCGGAGAUGCUUCCCCAGCCCCGGGUGGGCAGACGGAGACAUGAGGUCACCUGCCCUCCCGCUCCUGGGGGGCGCCUGCCGCAGGGUCACCCUGCGCUUCCGAGGGAUAAAGGUGCCCCCUGACCCGGGACUGAGCAGGUGCCGUGGGGAACGUCCUCCUUUCCUGGUCACCCUCUUGACGGCCCACCACGGUGCCUUCAGGAUCAGUGGGGGGGCACGUGACACCUCCCAGCAGCCCUCUCGCUGACCCAGGUUCAGUUACCAGGCAGCCUCGAGUGUCGCCGGCAGGACAGGCCGGGCUUAGUCUAGCCCUCGCUGGUCUGGUGGGCAAGCUGCCCACUGGUCUCCACGGGGGCCUCAUCAGUGUGGGGACAGGGCCGGGGGGCGUGAGCAGGGAUGGGAGGGCCCUGGAAGCAGGCGGGGCAGGUGGAGGCGCUGGGGCAUUUAGGGGAACCUGCCCCGCGUCCUCUCCUCCCCCGCUCCUGUUCUGCAGGGAAGAUGGCUGAAGCCCAGGUUAUUCAAGAAAUUUGCCCGAAGCCACAGAGGAGGGUGACAUCCUGCGUCCUGAGCCCUGGCAUUUCUGGAGCAGCUGGGACAUUGUAGAGGCAGGUUGGCAGAGGCCACUCACGUCAUCUGAUUUCAGGUCUGCCCGAAGGUGACCCCGCACAGACUCUGAAGAAGCUCAAGGCCCCCUCACUUGUCUUUCUCAUUCCCUGCUGAGUUUUCACCCUGGGCGGGGCCUGGGGACCAGAGCAAGGGGCUGGGCACACAGGGGGGCUGGUGCUUUAUGGAUAUCCCACCUGACACAGAGCCUAGGCAGCUUGCAGUGACCGGCAUGCCGCGGCCCGCGGGCUGCUGAGGGCGGGGCUGCCCUGGGCCAGCUCGGCCCGUUUACACCGUGGCCUCAGCCAAAGGCGCUCCCUCCUGGGCUGUGGCCUCCCUCUGCCGUUGCAAGGCUGUCGUCAGGCCGGCGAGGCUGGGAGCCAAGGUCCGGGGGCGGCAUGGGGCCACGUGGGGUGGGGGUCGGUGGCAUCACCGACAGUCUGCUUUGACCCCUGCUCCAAGCGCUGCAAGGGCACGGGCCAGCAGGUGAAUGCCAGGAGAGGUGGCCCCAGGAUGCGCUUUCCAACUGCCCGGCUGGUGGUCACAGAGUGGACACCCAGUCAUGGUUCUUGAGCACGAGCCUGGCUCCGGCCUCACAGAUUUUCUCAGCAGUGGCCAGUUGGGCACAGGGUGUGGGGCUGCUGAGCCCUCACAGCCUUGCGUUCGGGCCACAGCUGUCCCCACCCGCCACCUCUCCUGUGGGCUUGAAGCCCCUCACUGCCUCUGCCCUGCACUCUGACCCUUCUUUCCCCUCCUGAGCUCUCGGCGUUGUUGUCCGCAAAGCCCUGCAUGGUCUCACGGCCAGAUGGACAGCCAGAUGGACAAAUGGAGGGAUGGAGAAGGAGACACAAUGCAGACCUGCUGCGGUCGAGGACCGUGAGCCACAGCGAAGUCCACGAAGGGCCCGGUGGUCGGCGAUGCAAACAGGUGACGAUGACACGCCGCCCACGACCUCUGCGGAGUCCUGUCCCCAUUUCCACGAAUAAGGAAGUUAAUCUGUAAACUUUCAGCAGGACCUGCAUCCAGGUGGGGCAGCUGACUGGAGAAGCAGGGGCCUGGCUACCUGACGUCUACGUCCGUGGGUCAGGCUGAGGCUCAGAAUUAAAGAGAAAGCUCUCUGUAAAGAAGAGACGCUCGCUGUCUCCAAGACUAAAGACAGCAGAUUGGGGCGAAGAGAGAUGGGAACCCCAGUGAUGCUGGUGUCUACCGCAGCUUGGUGAGAGCGGCGCUGAGGCCACCUCUUCCAGGGCCGUACCCGCCCAGAGCCAAAAGCGCAGGCCCGGAACCCAUUCCCACUUCCGGGACGUUGUUCUGUGGCGAUGCUCCAGCACAUGCAGAAGCGCUCAAACAUUCAUCAACGGGGGUGUGGGAUAAACCAAGCGCGUCCGUGCCGUGGCACAUCACGCAGCUGCUACAAGGAAAGCACAUCUGUGUGCAGACAGGCAAGACCCACACGGCCCGUCUUAACUAAAAAAGCAGAAACUUCUACACAAUAUGACCUACUUUCCACGAAGAAAAAGAAGAAAGCGCGGGAGGGAGGGAGGGAGAGGUUUGCGUAGACGUAGAGGAAACUAUUGGGAACAAGACGAUUCACUCUGGAUGUUUACUUCUCAAGCAGUAAGAGCCAGAUGGAGGGCGAAAUUCAGAGCUUUUUCACCUUCUGGGUAAUAUCUGCCUAUAAUAUCUGAGGUUUGGUAACUCCUCUGUAUAAUUUCUCUAACCUGAAAACCUGAUAAAAAGCACCAUUGAAAAAACGCCAUUCUUGCUAAGAAAGGAAGGUGCUUGUUGCCCGUCCCGACAUCACCUAUUCACUUCCCUUCCUUGCGAAUGCAACGCAUUCCUACCUUAAGCAAAUUCUCAUGAAGCUCUUUCCACCAGUGGACAGCUGACAAUGUACCUGGCACCUGGGGCUCUCAGAAACUCACAGGAGGCUGGUCCGUCUGCUCAUUUCUAAGUCAGCUUUUGGAGAACUUGACCUUUAGCAGUGUGCGGUAUUCCUCUUGGAAUGAAGCAGUUUGGUUGAACAUGGAGCUUACUAGAAAUAGAUUUUAUCUGUCUGUAGCACAAAUGCAGUCAGGGGUUAGCUCCCAGAAGGCACACACACAUACGUGCACAUAUGCAGGCACGCAUGUGCUCAGCCCUGGCCCUAGUUAGCAGGUUCUCAGGUUCUGUGGAGCUGUGGGGUGGGUGUGUUGGGAGCCGCAGGUGCCCCCCCGACCCUUGCAGGGCUGCCGGGCGCCCCGCGCAUCACCCCCACCGCUGACCGGAUGCUGCAAGGAGCACGUCCAGGCAGGCGGCGUAAGUGCCCUGGGGAAGGUGGCUGCGUGCAAAAGCCGCGAGCUGCCACGUGCCCCGCUUCCCACCGCGCGCCGUCCAGGCUCCGCUUUAGACACGGGAAGAUCUCCUCCGAAUGGCCUCAGUUUGAGAUCCUGGGGCCUCGGCAUUUGCUGGCCAGGGUCACCCAGCGAACAGACACGAAAUGGGUUUUACUCAAGCGUCACACUUGGCGGCUUGAGGACAUUCCACACGCGUUUACAACAUUUUAUUUGGUCACCCCCUCCUCUGCUAACAGUGAGUGAUAUUCACUCUCCCCUCUGCUGUCAGUCAGGCCAGGCCUCCCCGUUCCAGGCCCGCGGCCUUGGCUCCCGGCAGCUGACGGACGUCCAGGUGCACAUCUGACUCCCACGCUCCACCAACGGCCCCGGGCACCCUGGGAGCUGGCUCUUCAGUUGGUCGUGCAGAUCUGGUCGCAGCAAAUCGUCUGAGCUGGGGAGCCGGGUUGCCGGGGGCUCCGGGUGGACGCUGCCACUCUUUGACCAGGCUCCUCUCACAGGGGGCUUGGGUGCACACCCCAGAGGGACGCUGCAGGGCGACGGCCUCGCGGCGCCCCCCACCCCCGCCCCCGGACGUCCAGCCACCACCCCCGCCCAGCCUGGCCCUGCCUGCCAGGCCCCGCCCCCUGGAGCCAGUCAUCCCGAUGGCUGGCACUUGCGCUCAGGUCUGUGAUGCCUCAGAACGAAGACUCUGUGGCCUCAUUGUUAAAGGGGACCAGUAUCAUAAAGGGGUUGGAGAACCGAGUGCAGCGGCACAGAAAGAAGAGCCUGGAUGGCGGUUCGCUGGACCCAAGUCCUGGGCUACUGCCACCUUGAUCUUUCCUGGUCUCUUUGAAAAUGGGUCUGUCUGCACGGCCAAACAACAUAAAGCACAAAACUACCGAAAUGCUGGAGUGUAACAAUCGUUAGGUUUAAACCCCGGGCGGUUACAAGGAAGGACAGGGCGCGGGAGCCGCGGGGGACCUGCAGGGUGCCCUCCGAGCCGUUCCUCGAGCCGGACAAGCUGUGCAGCCUGCAGUCCCGGCCGGAGGGCCGGCUGGGGCACAGAGUCGGCCGCCACAUCCUCCCCAGCUCUCUCUGCACCUGGGGCGGGGGCGAGAGCAGGCGGGGCUCAGGCGGUGGGCAAGCUGGAACCGAGACCCCAGCUUCCCCCUAGGGCGAAUGCCCGUGGAUGAACGCUUCCCCUUCGGCCCUUUUCUGGGUGUGGAGGGUGUGAUAUCCAUGGACGCGGGGCGGGGACAGACGGGCCUGGGAAUGAAGAAGCGGAGAAGGAUGCGGGACCAGACGAGGGACCAAGAGAAAGGAGGUCAGACUACGGAGCCCAAGGCUUCAAUCCAGAGGCAGCGGCCGCUACACCCAGAGCCCGAGAGGGCUAAUUCGCCUUUUCAGAAAAGACCUCCUGUGGAAGCCGGGGCCCCAGCGCUUUGCCCUACAGUCCUGGUUCUGCUCCCUGGCUCCCGGGGGCGGGGGUGUCAGGGGGGUCCGGAAAGAACGAGGGGAGGGAGGUGCAGGAGUCGCUCAGACGACACGGGACAGGGAGGCACGGAGCACGCAGCAGACGCCGGCUCGGCCGGGGGAGCGGAGAGGUCUGGACACAGCCGGGGUGGGGCCCGGACGGGGGACCUGGGACGCCCCGGCGCAGGGGGCGGGGCCGGCUGGGAGCCAGGCGUCCCCUGCCCGCCUCCCCGCCGCCCGCGGUCCAGAGCCGGGGUUCUGGGCGCGGAGGGGUCUCCAGGCUGACCCUCCCCUAUCUGAGGACUCUGCGCGGAGGUGCUGCUUAGGGAUGGGAAACGUUUACAGAGCAGAGCCGGUGCUUUUCCUCGGUCUGGAGUUUCCUGCUACUGCCGCCGCCGAUGCUCGCUGGCGCUCCCGCUUGGCAGCCCCGAAAGAAGCGAGGAAAGCGAUGGAGGGAGGGGACCCUGAGGACCGCGCGGGGUGACAAGGAAGACGCGCGAGGCGCCGAGCGAGCCGCUGGAGACGCAGCCGCCGCCCAGGCAUGGCACUCACCCUGUGUCUUCUAGUGAAAGCCUGGCCGCAGUCCACGCACCUGUGCAGACGGUGGGGAUGCCUGCAGAAAGACACCUGGUGACCACAACCCCAUGCUGGUUACUUGCACCAGCCCAGCAGGGGCACACGUGGGAGCUUUCAUUAGCCUGAUGGUCAGGGACAAGGGCCUUCCGAUGAAAAGAUCAAGUGGAAGCUCUUCAUAAAUACAUACAGGCUUAUGCUCAUGCCUUACUAAGCAGUGAAGAUAACUGAGUAUGUGUCUGAAGGCUUCACAGUCCUGAAACACAUCUCUGUGUUUCUGGGUGUCAGUGUCAACGUGCUGGGGAGGCUGUGUUCAGACUUGGCAAAGACCUGCAGGGGAGUCCCUCGCUGUGAAGGUGGGGGUCCCGCAGCUGACGCACAGCCCUGCUGAUGGGCACGUUAGUGGGACCUCGUGAUGGAUGGCCUCCCUGCUUCUCCUCCUCCCAGGCCCCUUCCUUCUGACUUGCCCACCAUCAGGGUUUGCCCCAGGAAUGAGAGUCAGAGCAGUUUUAAAUCAGGUCCUGGCUCCCAGAAAUACUAAGCUGUUGGCUCUAGAAAAGCUCUUCCUACAGGGGCGGCACAGCAUUUUUCUGAGCUGAAAGCACCUGCAUUUAUAGGUCAGAGAGGACAGCAAUCAGGA